GUUGCCGCAAAAUCGGCAACCGGGCGUGAGAACCCGAGCAAUCCAUCGGCGAUACCAGACGCGCCAUGCGUCUUUUUU
rfam:Salmonella enterica subsp. arizonae serovar 62:z4,z23:--, complete genome.